GACGGGGGAUGCGAGCGUUGUUCGGAUUCACUGGGCUUAAAGCGCGUGUAGGCCGCCGGGUUAGUACUUUGUGAAAUCCCACGUCUCAACCGUGGAACUGCUUGGUAUACUGCCCGGCUCGAGGCUGGUAGAGGUGCCUGGAACUCUAGGUGGAGCGGUGAAAUGCGUAGAUAUCUAGAGGAACGCCCGUGGCGAAAGCGGGGCACUGGGCCUGACCUGACGCUGAGACGCGAAAGCGUGGGGAGCAAACGGG
rnacentral:rRNA from 1 species